AUUGAACGCUGGCGGCAGGCCUAACACAUGCAAGUCGAGCGGAUGAAGGGAGCUUGCUCCUGGAUUCAGCGGCGGACGGGUGAGUAAUGCCUAGGAAUCUGCCUGGUAGUGGGGGAUAACGUCCGGAAACGGGCGCUAAUACCGCAUACGUCCUGAGGGAGAAAGUGGGGGAUCUUCGGACCUCACGCUAUCAGAUGAGCCUAGGUCGGAUUAGCUAGUUGGUGGGGUAAAGGCCUACCAAGGCGACGAUCCGUAACUGGUCUGAGAGGAUGACCAGUCACACUGGAACUGAGACACGGUCCAGACUCCUACGGGAGGCAGCAGUGGGGAAUAUUGGACAAUGGGCGAAAGCCUGAUCCAGCAAUGCCGCGUGUGUGAAGAAGGUCUUCGGAUUGUAAAGCACUUUAAGUUGGGAGGAAGGGCAGUAAGUUAAUAACUUGCUGUAUUGACGUUACCAACAGAAUAAGCACCGGCUAACUUCGUG
rnacentral:rRNA from 1 species